rnacentral:misc_RNA from 1 species
UGAUUUUGCACAUCUCCGGAAUUGUUUUCUUCUUUAUUCUCCUCUCUAGGUCUUCUGCCAAUUGGACCAGAUGUGUCUAGCACAUACCCUCUGCUCACAAUUUGGCACCUACUUCAUUACGCUGCUACAAGACCCUUAAUCAGUCAAGAAUUCACUUCUAAACUCGAACCUUCCUGGCUUCUUGAACUUCAAACUCAAAUCAAUUUGAUUUCUUCGAGGUUUUCCAUUUUCUUUUUCAUCAGCCG